CGGGGUUAAAGAAAGGAGAGGAGGCGUGGGCUGCGCUGUGCUGUCGCUGGAGGCGCUCCCGGCGGCGCCUGCCUUGGUGCUUGCUAGUUGGUCGCCUCCAGUGAAAGGUCAUGGCAGGACCCAAGCGAACCUGGACAACUACCCUUAUCCCAGCCUCGGGACUGGAACAGCUGUGAGAGGAGACGAGACUCCCUGCAGAGGGCGGAGAUGACGUUAGCCUGACCAGACUCACGUACGCCCAAGUUCAAGGACCCGUCGUAACCUAAAAAUAUACUGGGUGAUCGUAGCUUCGAGCUUCCCCAACACUGAAGUUCCCUUUUUAAAAGCCUGAAGACUAAGUCGGAUGUCAGAACUACUGCAAAGCCCAGGGGCUGCUCUCCCUCUACUUUCACCUUUAUAUCUAAACCAAUGAGGCUGUCAGCUACGUAAUGCCCUCUCAUCGCUUCUCUUUAAGAUUGCCCUUCAGCUAGAGGCUAGGCAUUCAGGACAUGUGGAUCAAUGGAAUUGAACCAAAGACUCAGCUGUAAACCCACACACCUAUGGGCACCUGAAGCCAACAUUAUACAAUGGAAAAAAGAAAGCGUCUUCAACAAAUAGUGCUGGUUUCACUGGAUAUUGGCAUGUAGAAGAAUGCAAAUAGAUACAUAUUUAUCACCUGGCACAAAACUCAAGUCUAAUUGGAUCAAAGAUCUCAACAUAAG
rnacentral:lncRNA from 1 species